GGGGUUUGCCGCCAGAACACAGGUGUCGUGAAAACCACCGCUCAACCUAAACCAAAAUGGGAAAGGAAAAGACUCACAUCAACAUCGUCGUCAUUGGACACGUAGAUUCGGGCAAGUCUACCACUGCUGGUCGUCUGAUCUACAAAUGUGGUGGGAUCGACAAAAGAACUACCGAAAAAUUUGAGAAGGAGGCUGCUGAGAUGGGAAAGGGCUCCUUCAAGUGUGCCUGGGUCUUGGAUAAACUGAAAGCUGAACGUGAACGUGGUAUCACCAUUGAUAUCUCCCCGUGGAAAUUCGAGACCAGCAAGUAUUACGUGACCAUCACUGAUGCCCCAGGACACAGAGACUUGAUCAAAAACAUGAUGACAGGCACAUCUGAGGCUGACGGUGCCGUCCUGAUUGUGGCUGCUGGUGUUGGUGAGUUUGAAGCCGGUGUCUCCAAGAACGGGCAGACCCGUGAGCGUGCCCUUCUGGCUUACACACUGGGUGUAAAACAACUAACUGUUGGUGUUAACAAGAUGGAUUCCACUGAGCCACCCUACAGCCAGAAGAGAUACGAGGAAAUCGUUAAGGAAGUCAGCACCUCCAUUAAGAAAAUUGGCUACAACCCCGACACUAGCAUUUGUGCCAAUUUCUGGUUGGAACGGUGACAACACGCUGGAGCCAAGUGCUAACAUGCCUCGGUUCAAGGGAUGGAAAGUCACCCGUAAAGAUGGGCAUGCCAGUGGAACCACACUGCUUGAAGCUCUGGAUGGCAUCCUGCCACCAACUCGUCCAGCUGACAAGCCCUUGCGUCUGCCUCUCCAGGACGUCUACAAAACUGGUGGUAUUGGUACUGUGCCUGUGGGCUGAGUCGAGACUGGUGUUCUUAAACCUGGCAUGGUGGUCACCUUUGCUCCAAUGUUACAACUGAAGUAAAGUCUGUUGGAAUGCACCAUGAAGCUUUGAGUGAGGCUCUUCCUGGGGACAGUGUGGGCUUCAAUGUCAAGAACGUAUCUGUCAAAGAUGUUCGUCGUGGCAAUGUGGCUGGUGACAGCAAAAAUGACCCACCCAUGGAAGCAGCUGGCUUCACGGCUCAGAUCUAUAAGAGAAGGGAAGAUGCAGGGCAAACCACUGCCCCCAAAACUGGAGAGACAGACCAAUACUGCAAGUCACAGCUUACUGGAGCAGAGACUCACCAGUGGAAAUUGUCACAGAAACCAGUGCUAGAGGAAGAAAGAAAACCCGACUCAUAA